UACGAAGGGGGCUAGCGUUGCUCGGAAUCACUGGGCGUAAAGGGUGCGUAGGCGGGUCUUUAAGUCAGGGGUGAAAUCCUGGAGCUCAACUCCAGAACUGCCUUUGAUACUGGGGAUUCUCGAGUCCGGAAGAGGUGAGUGGAACUCGAGUGUAGAGGUGAAAUUCGUAGAUAUUCGGAAGAAACACCAGUGGCGAAGGCGGCUCACUGGUCCGGUACUGACGCUGAGGUGCGAAAGCGUGGGGAGCAAACAGG
rnacentral:rRNA from 1 species